GGACUGUAGCUCAGUGGGACAGCAUCUGCUUGGCAUGCAGAAGGUACCAUGUUUGAUCCCUGGCAUCUCCA